rnacentral:lncRNA from 1 species
ACAAACCAGUUUCCGAUAAAAACUCCUCAGUGUUAAGAAUAUCAGAUGGUAAUUUAGUUCUUUUAAAUGAGUCUAAAACGGCCAUCUGGUCCACAAGUUUGAACUCUAGUAAUACAACAACUUCAAUCGAAGCAGUUGUUCUAGAUGAAGGUAAUUUUGUUUUGAGAGAUUCUUCAGCUAAUUCAACCUUAUGGCAAAGUUUUGAUCAUCCGACUCAUACAUGGCUUCCCGGAAUGAAGUUUGGAAUAAACAAACGGGCAAAAGUAAACCAAUUUCUCAUCUCAUGGAAGAAUAAAGAGGAUCCUGCACCGGGUCUCUUUUCGCUUGAGCUAGCCCCAGAUGGAUCGGAUCAAUAUGUUAUAAUGUGGAAUAGGUCUGAAAAAUACUGGAAUAGUGGAGUCUGGACUGGAAUAAAUUUUGCCAACGUUCCGGAAAUGAUAUCUCAUCAUAAUUUCGACUUCAACUACAUUUCGGAUGAAAAUGGGAGAUAUUUCGUUUAUUCUGUUACUAAUUCUAUGACAACUCGUUUUGUUAUUGAUUCUUCAGGGCAGAUUGAGCAGAUGUUUUGGUUGGAGUCUAGCAAGGCUUGGUUUCAGUUCUGGUCGCAACCAAGGCAACCUUGUGAUGUUUAUGCUUAUUGUGGCGCAUUUGGCAGCUGUAAUGAGGGAAACCAGUCUUUCUGUGCUUGUCUGCCUGGUUUUAGGCCAAAAUGGGAGAACAAUUGGAACUUGAUGCAGGAUUAUUCUUCUGGCUGUGUGAGGAAAACCCAACUGCAGUGUGAAAAUACUGUUGUUACAAAUGGAAAGAGUGACAAGUUUUUAGCAAAUUCUCACAUGGUAUUGCCUAAACAUCCACAAUCUGUGGCAGUAGGGAGUAUCAAGGAGUGUGAAACAACCUGCUCGAGGAACUGCUCUUGCACUGCUUAUGCUUAUGAAGACAAUGCUUGUUCAAUAUGGAUUGGAAGUCUCUUGAGUCUGCAUCAACUUUCACCAGGUGACGCAAAUGGGAAAACUAUUUAUGUCAAGCUUGCAGCUUCGGAGUUUUCAAGUUCCAGUAAUAACAAGGGAAUAGUCAUUGGUGCUGUCGUGGGUUCAGUGGCAUUUGUAGCUCUAUUAGGCCUUCUUGCUUUUAUGUAUUUCAGGAAGAGAGAGAAUACAAUGAAAACAAGCAAAUCAGUGGAGGAUGGUUCAUUGGUGGCAUUUGCAUACAAGGAUUUGCUAACAGCCACAAAGAAUUUCUCUGAAAAGUUGGGGGGAGGAGGUUUUGGUUCUGUUUUCAAAGGGAGGCUGCCUAAUUCAAGUGUCAUAGCUGUGAAGAAGCUGCAGAGCUUCAGCCAAGGAGAGAAACAAUUCAGAGCAGAAGUCAGCACAAUAGGGAACAUCCAACAUGUCAAUCUAGUUAGGCUUCGUGGAUUCUGCUCUGAAGGUACCAAAAAAUUAUUGGUCUAUGAUUACAUGCCAAAUGGUUCCCUAGAUUCGCACAUCUUCCAUAGAGAGGAUUCAAAGGUUCUUGAUUGGAAGACAAGAUACCAAAUUGCACUAGGGACAGCCAGAGGGUUAGCUUAUCUCCACGAGAAGUGCAGAGACUGCAUCAUACACUGUGACAUAAAGCCAGAGAACAUUCUAUUAGAUGCUCAAUGGUGUCCAAAAGUGGCAGAUUUUGGAAUGUCAAAGCUUGUUGGGAGAGAAUUCAGCAGAGUCCUAACGACCAUUAGAGGAACAAGAGGGUAUCUCGCACCAGAAUGGCUUUCAGGAGUGGCCAUAACAGCUAAAGCUGAUGUUUACAGCUAUGGAAUGAUGCUCCUUGAAAUUGUGUCAGGAAGGAGAAACUUUGAAUGGAACUCUGAAUACUCUGAAGAUGAAGAAAUGAAAUACUUCCCAACUUGGGCAGCAAGCCUAAUGAGCGAAGGUGGCAAUGUGCUUAGCCUUUUAGACAAAAGUCUUGAGGGUAGUGCUGAUGUAGAAGAGCUUUCAAGGAUUUGCAAAGUUGCUUGCUGGUGUAUCCAAGAUGAUGAAACUCAUAGGCCAUCAAUGGGUCAAGUGGUUCAAAUACUUGAGGGGGUUUUGGAAGUGACUCAGUCUCCAAUUCCAAGAUCCCUUAAAGUAAUCGCAGAUAACAAGGAGGAUAUAAUCUUCUUCACCGAGUCAUCUGAGACUUCAGCUGCUUCAUCUCAAGCUAAGUUCGCUGGAUCGUCAGCAAGUUCCUAAAUCCUUACCAAGAUAAUCAAUUUUAUUUGAGUAGUACUUGUUAUUUCUGUUUUUUGGAUUUGGGUGGUGUUUUGUUAUUUCUGUUUGACUAUAGUCUUGAAUUUAUUGCCCUUAUUUGAGUACUGCUAUCCUAGAUAGUCUACUAUACAUAUGUGGUUGUAAUCUAUAUUAGUUUCAUAUGGUUUGAACUUCGAAUGUCGUAGCAUAAUGUUUAUCAAAAUCUCGUGUCUGCAGGUUGUUUAUUUUCUAACUGUUAAUAAUGUCCGCUCGAAUGAUAACAAUUUAUCUACCUGUUAAUAUAUGAUUUUAAUAUAUGUUGAUAUGCAGAACACAACAUAACAGAACCAACCAUUUGAAAUUUCAUUUCAGUUGGACGAGUAAUCUAACGUUGAAUUUCACUGUCAUCAAUGGUAAAACAAAGAGUCCAGUUCAUACUUCAGAGUCGUUGCAAAUUAAUUAAAAUGACUAGAAGAUUGGAAUGAAUAGCGAAAUAGACAAACUGAAUUGAUAAGAUAAACAAAUAGAUAGAAUAAAAAUAAAACUAUGUACUGAAAACAUCCGAAUUUGUUGCAGUGUAUUGCAGCACCAAUUUCAUUUGGGCCAAGAAUGUACAAAGAAGCAAAAUCUUGAUGAGUUAUGUUCGAUAAAGUUCAAUGCAGUUAAAUGAAAAAAACUGAAACUAACCCCUCUGUAUAUUCCAGUUUCUAUUCUGUUUCCAAUGGACCGCAAAAACUUAUACGCAGUAAUGAGACUGCAGUAGCACAUUACAAAAUGACACAUCCACAUGUCCCCUAUAAUAUCUGUACAUGCUAAGUAACCCAAAUCUGCAAUGGUAAUUGGUUGAAGAAAAAUAGGGUACUAAUCGUAUUAUAAUACUGAAUAUGGUCAGCUUAGUCUUUGUGUCGAUUGACUACCUUGAUGCCAUCCGUCCAAACACAACCUCUAGCAAAAAGAGACGCAUUUUCCUCUAGUAUUCUGAGCUGUUCCCGAAGAAUUUCAGAACGGUCAAAAAGUGAAGAGUCUUUGAAAGAGGAUUCUUCAGGUACUUUGAGAUCAGACCAGCUUUCUGCCGGCAGGUAUAAAGCUUGUGAAGUGCUGUACCACAGCUCUGAUGAUCAAUAUCCAGAGAAGAAUUAUAGCUUAUCUCAAAAUGAGUGAAAUUAUUAAAAAAUCUAUAUACAUAGCUCAUUUCUAUAAUCCAUUGGGUUCAUAGUCUUAGAUAUCCUGAUAAGAAUUCCAACCCACUGCUUCUACAUAUACCCAGACAUUGAACACAAUUUGGUUUAUUUAUUUCUUAAGAACAUCAUGGUCAGUGAUUCAAAGUUCAAAACAUGAAUUUCAAGGAUUAUGAUAUCUAUGUGGCACGUGUGUCAAGUUUAGUAAAACUUAAAUCUCCAUGGGAAUUCGACGAAAAUCAACAAGCUCCUUCUUAGUCAUAGGUCCGGGUGGCAAAGCUUAUUCAGUUUUGACUUUGGAUACCUGCCUGCCUGAACAAUUGAUUAAGGACGAACCUAUACUAUGCAUGUCGGAUAGUAGUAGCAGAACCACUCAAAAUAGGCAGAAGAUUGCAAUCUAAACCAAUAUAUGACAAGGGUAGAACAUAUAGAGCUUAAACUUUACCUGUGCCUUGUAGCUUAGCAAUCCCACUACAGGGGAGACAACACAGUGUGUUUUCUUGUUGAGGGUAUCAGUUGGCACAUCUCUCAUAACCAUAUGUCCUAGCGAGUGAUAAGUCAAGAAAGCUGCACCAAAUUUCCCUUCAGGAAUUCGAUAUAUGGGAUACCAAGCCACUGAAAACCUAAAACCAAUUUAUUCAGGUUGUAAUAAGAAUGUCACAGAUUGGUUCCCCCCACCCCAAAAAAUAAGUAAAUAAAUGAAAGCACCAUGUGGUGACUGAUUCUCACCAGGAUGCAGGAUGUAGAUCAUUCAGCUUCAAAGAUUUCAACUGUGAUAUGUCACCAAAUACUUGAAGACAAGAAGCUUCAGCAUCAAAAAGAUCCAGAAUUCUGCAAUUAGUAAUUAGUUAAGAUCCAAUCCAGAUACAUCUUAACACCCCAUUUCAAAUAAAAAUGAUGAGGGUUUCAAUGAAUUGUAAACAGAAUGAGAAGAAAGAGUUCAAGGAAAAAAAGCCUACAUGAUAAGCGGUAAUUGGAAAUGGAUGACUAUGAGUGAGUACUAAUUAAGAUAAGAAGAUAAAAAGAAGACACAACUACAGCAAUGAGGACAAAACAUGUCAAACCUUCAACUAGGGCAAUGGUUGGGCACACCACACAAGAAAAGCUGAAAUGGAACUACAAAUCAACUAUGUAGAAUCAUCAUUUCCAUGUACGACUUUUAUGAAUUCUGUAAAUAUGGCAAUGCAAGUUUUGAGGUAAGAAAGCAGAACUCUCAAUGCACAUGGUACAAUAACCUACAGCAGUAUCAUAAAUACUCCAAGAUGCAAUUUCUUCAAGUUAAUGAAUAGACUACAGAUUAAAUACCAUGUGAGAGAAAUAUGCCAGACUCAAGUUUAGAAAAAUAGUUCUAAUAGCAUCCACUGUAAAUAAUUGAUUGUAUAUCAACCUAGCAAUUUGAAUUAGCGACUGCCUGAUGAUUAUAAUUUUCAAUACAGCAAACGAAAGAUAAAGGCUAGUGGCGAAAUUUACUUAUUAUGAAGAGGCCUUCGCAGCCAAGGUUUCUCAGUUUCAAAAAAUUCAAAUAAAAGUUCACAAUUACUGGAGCAAUCAGGUGAUGGAGUGAAACACUGGGAGUGGCCUUCAGGACAGAAAGCCUUAUAUGAAUUGACACUCUCUUCAAACGAGCCAAAUUUCAGCUCUGGGGCCAAAAUAUUUUUCCCCUCUAAUGCUGUUGAGCUAUUUCUGAUAUACAUGUCAGAGUUGGAGCGCUCUUCAUUUGUACCACAAGAAUUAGAUAGAUAUGAGUAGCCAAACAAUUGAACAGCUGAAAGAUAAGGAACAAAAUGAGCAUCAAACGAUGCUGAUUCAGUAAGCCGCCCUUUUAGGUUCUGAGAAUCCCCUACUUUGACUUUCAGUCCAUAAUUCCCUGGCUCCUCGUACCAGUUCCAAACAGAAAAAGUGAUGUAUUAGGUAUCUGGGGCUUACACAAGGAGCUAUCAGACAACUGAUCACCCAAACAUAAAGAACAUUUUCCGUGUUGAUAUAAUGAGGCAAUAGCAGGAGCAGCGGAGUGGAGGAAUCUUUCGAACUCCACAAGUGGACAUCCUGUUUCUAGCUCAAAACCCUCAGAUACUAGUUGCAUUUUGUAAGCAGCAUUUAGAGGAUCUGUUACCAUUAAGCCAACAAUAAGCUGUUGAACAUCUUUCAAAUUUUGCACAUAUUUCAUUCUAAUUUCAGCACUCUUGACGUGGACUUCUGUUGUGGUACGCUGACUGUCAGAAUUUGGAGCUUCAGUUUCAACUAUAUUCAAACUGUUGCUACCAAUUAGGUGUGUACUUUUAAAUUUGCUUAACAUGGCAGAUGCACGAUGAUCAAUUACAUUUCCCCCCAAACGGCCAUCCUUCUCUACUUCAUGUAAAAGUGGCAAGUCGCCAUUACUAACAUGACAGAUACCAGCAGAACCAGUUUUUUCUGAAAUACUUGACCCCUUAGUGCCAACAGCAACCCACUUCUUUGAAUUCAUUCUAGAAGUAACAUCUUUUAUGAAUUGGUUUUCAUUAAAUUGUUCAAAUUUUAAGCAUGAUUCACUUUUUGUGGAAGCAUGAAAUGAUCUAGCUGAUACGUAACUCAUCCCUGGUAUCUUCACCCCACCGUAUGGUUGAGAGCAUACCCUAGUUGGCCGUCCAUGACAAGAAAAAUCAGAAUAAGAAUGCAAGCAGGAUGCACCAUGGGUAAAACCAUGCUGGCUACUGUAAGUUCUCUGCGCCAUAUAAGGAUUCUUGUAACAGUUCAGUUCAAAUGGCACCUCUAAAAAUUCUUUCUUACAUAAACAAGCCUUGUUAUGAGGCCUCAAGAAAUUGUGCCCCUGACAUUCCAGUCCUUUCUUGCUUCUGCAAUAAUUUCAAGGGUUAAAGGAUCCCUUUGUUUUCAAUUUCUGUUCUUCAUAUUCAUCCAAUUCACAAGUGGCCACUUGACUUAAUUGGGACACGUGUCGAUCAAGUCUCCUAUUUAAUCUCUGAUCAGCAACCCAUCGAGAGGACUCAACCAACACCUUCUGGUGGAUUCUCACAUCUGUUUUUGUCUUUUUAUUUCCUGCAUUUGCUACACCAAUGUGCCUAGAAGAUUCAAUUGUUGGAGUGGGCAGCAAUCCUUUACCAAAAAAUGAGUUGUGCUCGACAAAAAGGUUCUUCUGCAGCAUACUUGCAUCUCCCUGUAGAUAAUUGCGUUGCAAUUUGUUACCCUCACUGGUUUGUGUUUCCCUUACAUUCCUCUGCUUCUUCCGCCAGACUGAUUGGCUAUUUUCCUUCCCUGUCAUGAUAUGUUGGUGAUUUCUAGUCUUAUUGACAGCAUCAAGUUCAGAUGGUAAGUUAUGGCUCUUAAAUCCAUUUCUUUCUCUGAUGGCAUGAGAACUGUUGCAGACGUCACACCCUUGCUUGUUCUCAUCUGGAACUUUACAGCAAGUUCUACUAUUGCAGUUUUGAAUAUUCAGAUCUUCAGAACACAGUUUCACAUGUAUUUCACAUAGAGAAGUUGAAUUCACCAGUGGGGUAUUUUUCUCCAAGCCCUUUUCACAGUUUAUAGCAGGAUUGAGUAUAUCCUCCAUAAUUGAUGAAGAAGUUGACUUUGCAUCAAUAACAUCAUAUUUACUUUCUCCUGCCAUAGAAACAAUCUUACAGGAGAUCUUUUUACUUGAAUAAGUUCUCUUUUUGUUGUUCUUCUUUUUCUUUCUAAAAUGUUUCUUGAACUUCGGAUCAUCAGUAAUUGAAUCCACUUUGCUGUUUACCUGCUUAUCACUAAAACCAAGAGUAGCUGAUUGGAAAGAUCCAGCACAUCUUGACUUCUCAUUACACACAACAUCUGGUACAGCUAGAUCUCCGUAUGGCUUCAAAGCCUCAGAGAUCCAGAUGUCACCAAGAACUGCACAACCUAAAGAGCUUGACGAACUACAGAUACCAUUUCCCCGUUCUAUAUGUUGAACUAAUGCUCCUGAAACUUCCAUCUCUAGAACAUUUAUCAAUUUAACGAUUUUCAGUCCUUAUCUAAAUCAACACCAGAAAGCAAAGCCUGCAAUGGGAAAUGAACAAGUUAAAGAAAAGGGGCACGAUCAAGUUCCAAAUGAAAUCAAGUCCUACUAGAGACAGAUAACAUGUUAACAAUAAAGUCAACAGAAUUUGAAUGAAACAAGAAUCCACUCCAGCCUGUCAAAUAUUAAAGCAACAGAAAAGCAAAGAACCAAAAGAGCAUCUCAUUUCUCAUAUGAACCAAAGAUUGGAUAAAGUCAAUAAAAAAUAAUUGGAAUAAAAUGCAAUGAACAAGCACUCAAACCAAAUAUAUUCAUAUGAUCCUCAAAUUUGCAUUUUAGUUAAUGAGAUACUAAAGUGAAUUUAACUAACUACCUAACAGUACAAGCACACAUCUCAUGAAACAAACCAAUUUAUCAGGGCAUUUGCGUACAUACAAAAGUCCAAAUAUCUCUUUAAAUCAAACCCACCUAAUUUUUACCAACAAAAGUUAUUUUUCUUGACCUAAUAUAACUCAAGGGUAGAACUAAAUAUGAACCCAAGAAAUAGCCCAAACCAUGUAAUUUAUUCAAAUGCACGUUUUCAAGUACUUCUCAGACAGUUAUUUAAUUCAUCUGCUACCCAAGAAAAACAAAAUGAAAGUAGAAAAAAGAACAAGAAAAAGAAUGCCACUUUACCAAGUGCAGGUGAUGGGUUCUUGUGACUGCUCAAAGAACCCAGAAAAUAUAAUUAAAAGGAAAUAUCCAUGUUCCUUUAACCAAAUUAAGAAACAUACAAAGAAAACGACAAAUUUUGAAACAAGAAACGUGAAUAAUACUGAUCAAAUUAUGACACCCGUAUUGAAUUUAGAUCAAACAAAAAGAUUAAACAGAGAAAAAAAGAUAAAAGAAAAAGAAAGUACCUGAGAGACAAAAUGAGAAGCGCGCCAGAAGCCAAAAUAUGAAAAAUGGGUUUUUGGGGUUUUGACUUUUGAGUCUGUUUCAAUUUUUAUUUAACGGAUUUCUUGAAAUUGCUAGGAAAUAUUCUCUUAGAGUGUGGAGUAGGCAUAUCACAGUUGAUGAGGUCGAAUCUCUCUCCGUGGGCGCCUUGUGUCUAAUACGUAUGAUGAUAACACAAGCAAAAUACCAUAUGGAUGGAUUAUGGGCAGCCCGCGGAAUUGUCUGUUGUACCCCGCUAUUGUAACCAUCCAGGAGGAUCCGUUUUAAUAUUUUUUUUUGCUACACUUUAAAUAUUCCUAUAAAUGAAUUAAUUCAUGUUUAUAAACAGUGUUACGGAAAAUAAGGGAGAUGGUGAAUAAAUAAUAUUAUAAGUUUUUUAAAAAGUUACAUAAAUAAAAUUAAUAGUUUUUGAAAUAAAAAAUUAUUUCUAAAGAAACAUGAAUUAUUGCCAAGUAGCAUGUGAAUAAACAUUUAAUUAUUCAAAAAAGAAUGAUUAUGUACUCUUUGAUGUAUGUUACGACGUUAAUUGGUGAGAAUGAAAUACUGUACAAUAAAUUAUCUUAGAAAUUUGUUAAAGUAUACUAUGUACCAAUGAAUGUUAUUUUUUCGAAUGAAAAUUUUGGGAUGAUAAUAUUAGGGAUAGGACUAUUUGAGCUCUAAAAAUUAUUUUAAAUACUCUAUUAUUCUAUAGAUUUGUGUACUAUGAACUCUCUACUUUCUUCCAAUAGUUAGUAGUGUGAAAGUGGUGUAAUGAGGGAGUGAUGUGGUGUCUUAAUUACUCUCCCGUUUAGCUCUUUGUUAGUGUUUUUUAAGUCUGCUGUUUUAAAUUUGUGAAGUUUUUUAUAUUGUCGCUAUUUUCCAUUAUUGUUAUUGGUGGUCUAUAUGAUGGGUACGAUGGAAUUAGCGAAACUUUGUGGCUCUUUAACUUUGCGUGUCAAAGCAAGUACGAUUUUGUCUCAGAUGCUGUCCAAAAGCGAAGGGAGGCAAUGGUAGUGAAUUACUUGAUUAGUAAGAUAUUAACGAAGCAGGUGAUUUCCAAAGAUGCCUUCACUAAGAAUUUUCCAGUGAUUUGAAGAACAUUCAGGGAGUUAAGAUCAAAUGUUUAGAGAAGAAUGUAUUCUUGUUCUGUUUUAGCUGACGAGUUCUUUUGUUGGCCCAUGGCAUUUUGAUAGGACAUUGGUUGUUCUCACUCCAUUGCAAGGUAAUGGUGAUUUGACUGUGGAAUGUUCUGACAAAGUGGCAUUUUGGGUGUAAAUUUAUAACGUGCCCUUAUUGUAUAUAUUAAAAGAGAUAACUGAACUUCAACUGAGUAUACAUGGAACGAUGGAGAAAGUAGAUAUGAGAUUAUCUAGUGAUUGUAUGGGAAAGUAUCUGAAAGUUUAUGUUACCUUUGAUAUUGUGUUACCUUUGAUAUUUCUUAUUCGUUAAAACGGGAUUUACGUGUGAAAUUCCAUUCAUUGGAUCUUAAAUGUGUGUUUGGUACUAUAUGAGAAGUAGUUAAAUUUUUAUUUUCACUGUAAUAGGAUAAGACAUAUAUUUCAUAAGUGUGAGGUGCAUGAGUUAGCAAGGGCAGAGGAUGGCUCCCACACCACUCUUCUGUUUGGGAAUUGGAUGAGAAUGAUUGUUGGUGCUUUCGUCAAACGGCUAAAAAAUCCACUAAUGGUCAAGGUUAAUACAAAGAGUGGCAGUGAGGAGUUGAAUGCAUCGUUGAUGACACCAAAUAAGCCGGAUACCGUUAUUAAUGGCGUGAAAAUUUUGGAUGAAUUUCAAAAUGUGAGUGAUUUAAAUUUUGAAAGCGCUAAUGUUGCAGACAAGGGAGCUUUUCCUUAGCUUAUGAUCUUUGGUUUCUAUAUGGCUUCUAGGCCGCUUGACCUCUUUACGGCUCCUAAGUGUUCGACUUCUUUAUGGUUUCUUGGUUGCUUGAGUUCUUUAUGCUCUGCUUCCUUGAUGCCUCUAUGUUUCUUUUUCCCUUUCUUUUACUUCUCGUCUCCGCCUCCAUUUCGUUCCUACAUAUUUUGACAGCACAGAAUUUGUUGUUGUUGCAGCGGCCAUGGAAAUCAUCAAGAACAAUUCAUGGUUGAUGCUUUUUGUUCUUUUCACGUGCUUCUCACUCAAAUCCCAUGUCUCCUUCGGAGCUGACACCAUUUCUGCAAACCAAUCUCUCUCUGGUGAUCAAACGAUCGUUUCUAAAGGUGGGGUCUUUGCAUUUGGUUUCUUCAACCCAGCUCCUGGUAAGUCUUCAAACUAUUACAUAGGCAUGUGGUACAAUAAAGUCUCUGAAAGAACUAUAGUUUGGGGAGCCAACAGAGAACAGCCAGUUUCUGAUAGAUUCUCUUCGGUUUUAAGAAUCUCAGAUGGUAACUUAAUUCUUUUUAAUGAGUCCCAACUACCCAUUUGGUCCACAAAUUUGACCGCUACCAGCAGACGUUCUGUGGUAGCAGUUCUUUUAGAUGAAGGAAAUCUUGUUUUGAGAGAUUUGUCAAAUAAUUUGUCGGAGCAGUUAUGGCGAAGUUUUGAUCAUCCAGCUCAUACUUGGAUUCCCGGUAUGAAGCUGACGUUCAACAAGAGAAACAACGUCAGUCAACUUCUCACUUCAUGGAAGAAUAAAGAAAAUCCUGCACCGGGUCUCUUCUCCCUUGAGCUAGCACCAGAUGGAUCAAAUCAAAAUGUUAUUUUGUGGAAUAGGUCUGAGCAGUACUGGAGAAGUGGACCUUGGGAUGAUAAUGCAAAAAUUUUCACCUUGGUCCCUGAAAUGACACUAAAUUAUAUCUACAAUUUCAGCUAUGUGUCGAAUGAAAACGAGAGCUAUUUCACCUACAAUGUGAAAGAUAGCACUUAUACAUCUCGAUUCAUUAUGGAUGUUUCAGGACAGGUUAAGCAGAUGAAUUGGUUGCCUACCAACUCUUGGUUUCUAUUUUGGUCCCAACCAAGACAGCAAUGAGAGGUUUAUGCUUUUUGUGGUCAAUUAAGCACCUGCAAUGAGCAAACUGAGCGUUUUUGUUCUUGUUUGAAAGGUUUUCAACAAAAAUCGGUGAGUGACUGGAAUUUGGAAGAUUAUUCUGGUGGUUGUGUGAGGAAAACCCCGCUGCAGUGUGAAAAUAAUAGUCCUGCCAAUGGAAAAAGCGACCAAUUUUUCCAGUACAGUAACAUGAAAUUGCCUAAACAUCCACAGUCUGUGGCAGUAGGGGGUAUCAGGGAAUGUGAAACACACUGCUUGAACAACUGCUCUUGCACUGCUUAUGCUUACAAAGACAACGCUUGCUCGAUUUGGGUAGGAAGUUCGUGGGUCUGCAACAGCUACAAGGAGGUAGAGAUACCAUUUACAUCAAGCUUGCAGCUUCUGAGUUCGAGAGUCCCAAGAACAACAAGGGAGUAGUCAUUGGCAGUGUUGUGGGCUCAGUGGCUGUCGUAGCUCUUAUUUGCCUGAUCAUGCUUGUGUACUUGAGAAGGAGAAAGACAGCAACUGUAACAACCGAAACUUUGGAGGGUUCUUUGGUGGCAUUUGCAUACAAGGAUUUGCAAACUGCCACAAAGAAUUUCUCUGAAAAGCUGGGGGGAGGAGGUUUUGGUUCAGUUUUCAAAGGGGUGUUUCCGAAUUCAAAUCUCACAGCUGUGAAGAAGAUUGAAAGCUGGACCCAAGGAGAGAAGCAAUUUCGGACUGAAGUCAGUACCAUAGGGAAUAUCCAACAUGUCAAUCUGGUUCGGCUUCUGGGUUUCUGCUCUGAACUAGUAGGUUGUUGGUCUACGAUUUCAUGCCAAACGGUUCUUUAGACUCUCAUCUCUUCACUGAAAAAGAUUCAGACUUUCAUGAUUGGAAGACAAGAUACCAAAAUUCAAUGGGGACAGCCAGAGGUUUGGCUUAUCUCCAUGAGAAGUGCAGAGACUGCAUCAUACACUGUGACAUAACGCCAGAGAACAUUCUGUUAGAUGCUGAAUUUUGUCCCAAAGUGUCCGAUUUUGGGCUGGCAAAGCUUGUUGGGAGGGAGUUCAGCCGUGUCCUAACAACCAUGAGAGGAACAAGAGGUUACCUUGCACCUGAAUGGAUUUCAGGAGUGGCCAUAACAGCCAAAACGGAUGUCUACAGCUACGGAAUGAUGCUGUUUGAAUUUGUAUCAGGAAGGAGGAGCUCGCAGGAAUCUGAAGAUGGUAAAGUGAAGUUCUUCCCAUCUUGGGCUGCUAAACGAAUAGUUGAAGGCAGCAAUCUCGUUAGCCUCUUAGACCCAAGACUGGAGGGCAACGCUGACGAAGAAGAGCUUGCAAGACUUUGCAAAGUGGCUUGUUAGUGCAUCCAAGAUGAUGAGACUCACAGGCCAUCAAUGUGUCAAGUAGUUCAAAUUCUUGAGGGAGUUUUGGACGUGGCACUGCCUCCAAUUCCCAGAGCUCUCCAAGUAAUGAUCGACAACCAUGAGCACGUAGUCUUCUUCACUAAAUCAUCGUCAUCUCAGAGUUUUUUGAAUCAAAGAGCAACAAUUCAACUGCUUCAUCUCAAGCAAAGAGCACCACAUCAUCAAGAAGUUCUUAAAUCGGUGUGAAGAAAAUAUUUUCACAUUUGUGUUUUAAGAAUAUGUAUUUGGCUUAUUUCACUUGUAACAACCUGUAUGCAUAUUUGGAUAGAAGCCUUGCUUCGUAGUAUAUAAUAAUAAUGCAACCUGCCAAAGCAAUUUUAAGAAUCACAAGCCUUUUGCCUCGCUGUUCUCUCUAAUGAACUCUGAUUGAUCUAUGCUCCCCUGCAUUGACUAUUGGCUUCACCUAAUCGCUUCAAUUGUCAAAAUUAGGUAUUGAAAUGACAGUUAUCCAGAAGAAGGGGAACUUGGAACUUGGAAGUUAUCCAGAAGAAGGGGAAAAACAGCGAAAUCAAUCAAACAAACAAACUUAAACGCGACGUUGUAACAAAUAACAUGGGUCAAGAUAUGAAUAAACUGGCCAACAUUGUUGAAUUGUCCGUAUUUUUUAUCGACUUCAAUUGGCUAACAAGUUUCCGUCUUUUCUUGAAGGAUGGCUUUGACGGCGUUUCUUGAAGGAUGGCUUUGACGGCUUACGUAACACAUAAUUUACGUUAGACUUUUAAAUAGUCCAUCUGAAAAAAUUUAUGUGACACGGUUGACAGUAUAAGCACAACGACAGUGAUUACUAACUGUUUCUGCUUAGUCCCGCCACACACACCUCCAAUUUCUCCCUUAUGUCUUUGAUAAAUAGACCAUCUGUUGUUCAUAAACAACAUCUUGUCUGCACAGAAGUUUUCCAGCAGCCAUGGAUGUCAAGAAAAAUGUAUGGUUCGUGCUCUGUGUUCUCUCCAUAUGCUUCACUCUCAAACAUCAUUUAUCCUCUGCUGCUCGUGACUCCAUCUCUGCAAACCAAUCUCUCUCUGGGGAUCAAACUAUUGUCUCUGCUGGUGGGGUCUUUGAACUAGGCUUCUUCAAGCCAGGUAACUCUUCAAAUUACUACAUAGGCAUUUGGUACAAAAAGUUGCCAGAACAAACCAUAGUUUGGGUGGCAAAUAGAGAAAAACCAGUUCCCGAUAAAAACUCCUCAGUGUUAAGAAUAUCCGAUGGUAAUUUAGUUCUUUUAAAUGAGUCUAAAAAGCCCAUCUGGUCCACAAGUUUGAACGCUAGUAAUACAACAGCUUCAAUCGAAGCAGUUGUUCUAGAUGAAGGUAAUCUUGUUUUGAGAGAUUCUUCAGCUAAUUCAACCUUAUGGCAAAGUUUUGAUCAUCCGACUCAUACAUGGCUUCCCGGAAUGAAGUUUGGAAUAAACAAACGGGCG